rnacentral:rRNA from 1 species
UACGGGGGGGGCAAGCGUUGUUCGGAAUUACUGGGCGUAAAGGGCUUGUAGGUGGCCAACUAAGUCAGACGUGAAAUCCCUCGGCUCAACCGGGGAACUGCGUCUGAUACUGGGUGGCUUGAAUCCGGGAGAGGGAUGCGGAAUUCCAGGUGUAGCGGUGAAAUGCGUAGAUAUCUGGAGGAACACCGGUGGCGAAGGCGGCAUCCUGGACCGGCAUUGACGCUGAGGCGCGAAAGCCAGGGGAGCAAACGGG